rnacentral:rRNA from 1 species
UACGUAGGGUGCAAGCGUUAUCCGGAAUCAUUGGGCGUAAAGCGUACGUAGGCGGCUUAUCAAGUCUGGGGUCAAAGACCACAGCUUAACUGUGGAAAGGCCUUGGAAACUAGUGAGCUGGAGUGAGGUAGGGGUUGCGGGAAUUCCCGGUGUAGCGGUGAAAUGCGUAGAUAUCGGGAAGAACACCUGAGGCGAAAGCGCGCGACUGGGCCUUAACUGACGCUGAGGUACGAAAGCUAGGGGAGCGAAUGGG